rnacentral:tRNA from 1 species
GAAAUAUUAGUGUUUGAAUUUCUAACUCAAAUAAAAAUAAUUUAAUUUAUUUAUAUUUCU